UCUUUCAAUUCAAGUAAUGGAACCCAACCAAAGGGAGCAAACGUCCUUCGAAACUACUGUACAGUACAUGUAAUGUUUCCAAGUACCGGAGGGGUGUCAAGCUCUUCAAAUACUCAGCACUUGUUGAAGAACUAACCCGAGCCCAUUUCGAAAAAUAUAGCACAUUAACUCGAUCGUUUUCUGGAAUAUGGUGUAACCAUCCCCGUGCAUCUUCAUAAAAGAAUAGCGAGUGAGUGGAUUCUUUAUUGCACGUCUCUAAUGAACAGGUAUAGGAUCCUACUGUGCUAGGAAAGGACAAUAAUCUACGAGCAUUGUUAGUGUUGCUCAAUUAAUAUUAAGAAUCAUGUGCAUAUAUAUUGCUAUUUCAUGUGUAGUAUAGUUAAUAUCUUAGGCAUGAUACAAGGUUUAAACCUGUAAUCUUCAGAUCACAAGUCACCAAUGAUUAUGACAUUGUCACAUUGAAAGCAUUAAAAGAAUCAAUUCCAUCAAAGAAAUACUGAUGACCAUUUAGCUGUAUUAUGUGCCUAUAUAUGCAAUAUUAUUAAGCUCAAAGAUAAAAAUAUCCGCUGGAUGCUAUGGCCCAGCUGUUGUUGGGGCAUACCUCGUUUCAAUGGGAGGUUACUGUGACUUGAGGGGGAAUAUACUAUAGUUUAUAAUGGUCCUAGCUUUUGACCUGUAAUUCUGUAUUAGCUUUUGGUUAUGAUUUUCAAUUUUUCUUUUAUACAUCUUACAGCAGGAGAUGUUGCUGGUAUUUUAUA